GAAGCUUCCCGUCGUCCGAGCCGUCGCUGCUCCUAGCAACCCGUCGCCGCUGUCGACCCUCGUUUUCUUCCCCGGCGCAUUGCUCUCCUCUCUCUUGGCCUCCUUGCUCGAUUCAUUCUUCCCCACAGGAAACCUUAGGGCUUAUGGAAAUCCAUCUGAGGAAUGUAAAUAUGAUUUGGAAACUUUAUAAGUGAUGAAGAAAAACCAAGUGUGCAUGCCUCUAGUUUGGACUUUGAGGAAGAAAUAACAUAAAUCCAAGAUUUUUGCCAUUGAAAUCCAUGAUGGAGGAGACAACCUAUGAUUUCAAGUCCUAAAUUUUGACAGUUGAAUAUAAUACCAAGAAGAAAGGAUUGAAUUCCAAACCGCCCCAUCUUUGUAAGCAUG